UACGCGUGGGAAUCUGCCCUCAGGUUGGGGGACAACAGCCGGAAACGGCUGCUAAUACCGGAUAAGCCCUUACGGGGAAAGAUUUAUCGCCGAAAGAUCGGCCCGCGUCUGAUUAGCUAGUUGGUGGGGUAACGGCCCACCAAGGCGACGAUCAGUAGCUGGUCUGAGAGGAUGAUCAGCCACAUUGGGACUGAGACACGGCCCAAACUCCUACGGGAGGCAGCAGUGGGGAGUAUUGGACAAUGGGCGCAAGCCUGAUCCAGCCAUGCCGCGUGAGUGAUGAAGGCCUUAGGGUUGU
rnacentral:rRNA from 1 species